AGUGGGAUAGCUGGGUCAAAUGGUGGAUCCCUUCUUAGUUUUCUGAGGAAUCUCCACACUGCUUUCCAGAGUGGUUAUGCCAAUUUGCAGUCCCACCAGCAAU
rnacentral:pre_miRNA from 1 species